CACGCAGGCGGUCUGUCAAGUCGGAUGUGAAAUCCCCGGGCUCAACCUGGGAACUGCAUUCGAAACUGGCAGGCUAGAGUCUUGUAGAGGGGGGUAGAAUUCCAGGUGUAGCGGUGAAAUGCGUAGAGAUCUGGAGGAAUACCGGUGGCGAAGGCGGCCCCCUGGACAAAGACUGACGCUCAGGUGCGAAAGCGUGGGGAGCAAACAGGAUUAGAUACCCUGGUAGUCCACGCCGUAAACGAUGUCGAUUUGGAGGUUGUGCCCUUGAGGCGUGGCUUCCGGAGCUAACGCGUUAAAUCGACCGCCUGGGGAGUACGGCCGCAAGGUUAAAACUCAAAUGAAUUGACGGGGGCCCGCACAAGCGGUGGAGCAUGUGGUUUAAUUCGAUGCAACGCGAAGAACCUUACCUG
rnacentral:rRNA from 1 species